rnacentral:rRNA from 1 species
AGGGCGAACGCUGGCGGCAGGCCUAACACAUGCAAGUCGAGCGCGUGUAGCAAUACACGAGCGGCAGACGGGAGAGUAACACGUGGGAACGCGCCCUUCGGUUCGGAAUAACUCAGGGAAACUUGAGCUAAUACCGGAUACGCCCUUACGGGGAAAGAUUUAUUGCCGAAGGAACGGCCCGCGUCCGAUUAGCUAGUUGGUGAGGUAACGGCUCACCAAGGCGACGAUCGGUAGCUGGUCUGAGAGGAUGACCAGCCUCACUGGGACUGAGACACGGCCCAGACUCCUACGGGAGGCAGCAGUGGGGAAUAUUGGACAAUGGGCGCAAGCCUGAUCCAGCCAUACCGCGUGGAUGAUGAAGGCCUUAGGGUUGUAAACCCCUUUCAGCAGGGACGAAGCGAAAGUGACGGUACCUGCAGAAGAAGCGCGGCUAACUACGUGCCAGCAGCCGC